GGACAGGAAAAUGAGCUUCGCCUCCGCAUUCAUUAUAGAUUGCAGCGGUGCAAUCUGGAACCACGUCAAACCAUUGAGAAGUGUAUUGCAGUAGUCAAGGCGAGAGAGAACAACAGCAUGGACCAGCACCUUAACCGCAUCUGGUGUUAAAUAGGGGCGGAUGCGUGCUAUGUUUUGGAGAUGGAAGCAACAGGAUUUGGCGAUUGAUUGGACAUGAGGGAGUAAAAAAGAACACCCAGGCAGCGAGCCUGUGAGGUAGAGGUGAUGGUAGCACCGUUGACUUGGAGGGAGGCAGGCACGGGAGUACUAACACUUGAGGGAGGAAGGACCAGAAGUUCUGUUUUGGACAGUUGAGUUUAAGGAAGUGAGCAGCCAUCCAGUUGGAAAUCGCAGAGAGGCAGUUAGAGAAACGAGUCACGAUGGGUGGAGAGAGAUCAGGAGAGGACAGGUAGAUUUGCGUGUCAUCUGCAUAGAAAUCAUAACGGAAGCCAAAGGAGCAGAUGAGUUUACCAAUGGAGGCAGUAUAGAUAGAUAACAGUAGGGGACCAAGGGCAGAACCUUGGAGGAUGCCAACAGAGAGUGGUUGGGGAGAAGUCAGAGAAAGAAACACUGAAAGAGCGGUUGGAGGAGCACCAGGAGACCAAAAUUACGGAGAAUGCGAAGAAGUUGUUGAUGAUCAACAGUGUCAAAGGCAGCAAAAAGAUCAAGGAGAAUUAGGAUAGAGUAAUGGCCGCGAGAUUUACCAGCAAUUAAAUUGUUGGAUAUUUUGGUCAGUCGUUUCGACAGAAUGACCAGCGCGAAAUCCAGACUGAAGGCAGUCAAGGAGAGAGUUGGAUUCGAGAGUCAGUCAUUCUGGUAUACACAACUCUCUCGAGGAUCUUGGUGUCAGGGUGGCGGUCCGAAGACCGGGACCCCUGUGCCUGAUGUAGAAGAUUAGCGGAGUCUUCAGCAUGGAAGUGGAUAAGUAUGGCCUGGUGCAGGGUAACCACACGCCCCCUGGUGUUGAGCACAAGCGUUUGAGCAGCCACCAACUAGAACUCUGAUGGAACUUUAGU